CAGCGAUUUGUUUCUUAUUACAGUCGAUGCUUCUUCUGUUGGUGGCAAACAACACUUUGUUAAUACUAUUCUUUCUGUUUGGUCUGUUUUGGAGUAUUGUGUGUCUGAGGAACCUUUUGCUCGAGGCUAACUGGGCCAUUGUGCAUUCUUUGAGCGAGUGUCAUUUAAGUUACAAUGGCUGGGCGGGCCACGUCGUACGCUGGUAUAACAAGGCCUUUCGGUCCACGGAGGAUGAGGUGGAUGCUGCAGACGCAUCGGACGUGGAGGCUGGGCAAGAGGUUGUCAGUAUCAUCAGAUGAGGAUGUACCUGAAGUUUCGUGCUGCACACCCUCGGCGUUGGAUACGCCGACGGAUGAAUCUAACUAGGCCCAUAUUUGGUCGAAUGUGUAGGUGGCGUACUGAGUUCAUUCAAACAGAUGGUGUACGUUUUGAGUAUGGUAAAAUGGCCACUCUUGAGAAGCAUGAUGAGAAAGCGAAGAACUUUUCUACAUUGCAACAUUAUGAUAUUACCGACGAAUAAGUUUUUUUGUGACAAAUAUGACACUGUAAUUAUUAACAAGAUUGUAACGUAUGUGUAUAGGGUCAAUGCUAGGAUCGAGAGACUAACUCUUGAUGAUAAAGCUAACAAGAAGAUAUUUGAAGAUCAGGGUGCACUGGAGAAAGUUCGUGUAGCCUGCAGCAAUAAGAUGGGUGCUUUUGAUUUGAACCCACAGAGGGCACCUGGUGUACCUUGGCGUAAAUAUACUAGAAGGAAUAGGUUUAAGUUUAUAAUGUAUUCUAAGCCGGAACAGAGUGCUGAUAUAACAAAAGUGAAAUCCUGGACAGAUCUAGAAAAGGAAUGUAAAGUUAAAAAUUGCCUGUUUCACGGUACUAACCCGUUUUAUAUUGGACUACAAAUUGCUGGUGAUGAACGUGAGAAAAAUGAUAAUGUUCACAGUGAAGUCAAAUAUGUCACAUUUA